rnacentral:sRNA from 1 species
AACAGUCGGCCAUUUCUUCCUCCCAGAUGCGAUGCCGGCAGGGAACGUGGUGUACCUCCUCCCACGCCGCGUUCGAAAAUCGAGCCCGCUGCCUCCUCCUCCCGGCAGCGGGCUUUUUU